rnacentral:rRNA from 1 species
UUUUCGGACAAUGGAUGUAGAGGAAAGUGGCGGACGGGUGAGUAACGCGUGAGGAACCUGCCUUGAAGAGGGGGACAACAGUUGGAAACGACUGCUAAUACCGCAUGAUGCAUAGGGGUCGCAUGGCAUUUAUGUCAAAGAUUUAUCGCUGAAAGAUGGCCUCGCGUCUGAUUAGAUAGUUGGUGAGGUAACGGCUCACCAAGUCGACGAUCGGUAGCCGGACUGAGAGGUUGAACGGCCACAUUGGGACUGAGACACGGCCCAAACUCC